rnacentral:ribozyme from 1 species
AAAAAAAACAAAACAAAACAAAGGCGAAAAUUUAUGCCCUUUGUUGUUUGUUGUUGUUGUUUGUCGUUCUUUGUUGUUCUCUACCCGGCUUUUUUUUUUUUUUUUUUUUUUUUU